GACGAACGCUGGCGGCGUGCCUAAUACAUGCAAGUCGAACGCAGUGGGGAUGGGUGAGUAACACGUGGGUAACCUCCCAUCAGAGGGGAUAACACUUGGAAACAGGUGCUAAACCGAUAUGGGAGGAUGGACCCGCGGUGCAUUAGCUAGUUGGUGGGGUAACGGCCCACCAAGGCCACGAGGCAUAGCUGACCUGAGAGGAUGAUCGGCCACACUGGGACUGAGACACGGCCCAGACUCCUACGGGAGGCAGCAGUGGGGAAUCUUCGGCAAUGGACGAAAGUCUGACCUAGCAACGCCGCGUGAGUGAAGAAGGUUUUCGGAUCGUAAAACUCUGUUGUUAGAGAAGCGGUAUCUAACCAGAAAGCCACGGCUAACUACGUGCCAGCAGCCGCGGUAAUUC
rnacentral:rRNA from 1 species